CCUACGGGAGGCAGCAGUGGGGAAUAUUGGGCAAUGGACGAAACUCUGACCCAGCAACGCCGCGUGAAUGAUGAAGGUCUUCGGAUUGUAAAGUUCUUUUCUAAGGGACGAAGAAAGUGACGGUACCUUAGGAAUAAGCCUCGGCUAACUACGUGCCAGCAGCCGCGGUAAUACGUAGGAGGCGAGCGUUAUCCGGAAUUACUGGGCGUAAAGGGUGCGUAGGUGGGUAAGCAAGUUAGUAGCGUAACUCCAAGGCUCAACCUUGGACCUGCUACUGAAACUGUUUGACUUGAGUGCUGGAGGGGCAGACGGAAUUCCUAGUGUAGCGGUGGAAUGCGUAGAUAUUAGGAGGAACACCAGUGGCGAAGGCGGGUUGCUAGACUGUAACUGACGCUGAGGCACGAAAGCGUGGGGAGCAAACAGGAUUAGAUACCCUAGUAGUC
rnacentral:rRNA from 1 species